CGCUUACUCGGGGAUAGCCUUUCGAAAGAAAGAUUAAUACCCGAUGCAUAAUGAUUCCGCAUGGUUUCAUUAUUAAAGGAUUCCGGUAAAGGAUGGGGAUGCGUUCCAUUAGGUUGUUGGUGAGGUAACGGCUCACCAAGCCUUCGAUGGAUAGGGGUUCUGAGAGGAAGGUCCCCCACAUUGGAACUGAGACACGGUCCAA
rnacentral:rRNA from 1 species